rnacentral:tRNA from 3 species
GCCUGGCUAGCUCAAUCGGUAGAGCGUGAGACUCUUAUUCAAUCUCAAGGCUGUGGGUUCAAGCCCCACGUCGGGCU